CUACGGAGUACAUAAGUUACAAUUCAUUUUAGUAACAAUUACUAACUUUUAAGACCAUUUUUAUUUAUUAAUAUUUUUGAGUCAUGGCUUUCUUUAAUGGUCAGAAAGAUUUAUAUAUCUAGUUUUGAGAGAACUUCUCUCAAUUGUUCUUUGAAAACUGAAUAGUAAAGAUAAAUUAAUAUAACAACGACAUCAAUAAAAAUAAAUUAGUCAAUUUGUUUUGUGAUACCGAGUAAUUAUUUUAAAUAAUAAUUUAUUAAAAUGUCUUUGAAUACAUCAACAAUAGGAAAAUAUUGAA
rnacentral:misc_RNA from 1 species